rnacentral:rRNA from 1 species
UGCAGAUAACGCAUUAAGCACUCCGCUGGGGAGUACGACCGCAAGGUUGAAACUCAAAGGAAAUGGACGGGGGCCCGCACAAGCGGUGGAGCAUGUGGUUUAAUUCGAAGCAACGCGAAGAACCUUACCAGGUCUUGACAUCGGGUGACCACUCUAGAGAUAGAGCUUUCCCUUCGGGGACAAAGUGACAGGUGGUGCAUGGUUGUCGUCAGCUCGUGUCGUGAGAUGUUGGGUUAAGUCCCGCAACGAGCGCAACCCUUAUUGUUAGUUGCCAUCAUUUAGUUGGGCACUCUAGCGAGACUGCCGGUGACAAACCGGAGGAAGGUGGGGAUGACGUCAAAUCAUCAUGCCCCUUAUGACCUGGGCUACACACGUGCUACAAUGGGAAGUACAACGAGUUGCGAAGUCGUGAGGCUAAGCGAAUCUCUUAAAACUUCUCUCAGUUCGGAUUGUAGGCUGCAACUCGCCUACAUGAAGCCGGAAUCGCUAGUAAUCGCGGAUCAGCACGCCGCGGUGAAUACGUUCCCGGGCCUUGUACACACCGCCCGUCACACCACGAGAGUUUGUAACACCCGAAGUCGGUGAGGUAACCUUUCUGGAGCCCA